UGUGUGUGUGUGUGUGUGUGUGUGUGUGUGUGUGUGUAUAUAUAUAUAUAUAUAUAUACAUACAUAUACAUACGCGUGCGCACACACACUGACACACAUACACA
rnacentral:miRNA from 1 species